rnacentral:rRNA from 1 species
CCUACGGGAGGCAGCAGUGGGGAAUCUUGCACAAUGGAGGAAACUCUGAUGCAGCGAUGCCGCGUGAGUGAAGAAGGCCUUUGGGUUGUAAAGCUCUUUUGUAGGGGAAGAUAAUGACCGUACCCUAAGAAUAAGGUCCGGCUAACUUCGUGCCAGCAGCCGCGGUAAUACGAAGGGACCUAGCGUAGUUCGGAAUUACUGGGCGUAAAGCGCGCGUAGGCCGUUGAGUUAGUUAAUUGUGAAAUCCCAAAGCUUAACUUUGGAACUGCAAUUAAAACUGCUCGACUAGAGUUUGAUAGAGGAAAGCGGAAUACAUAGUGUAGAGGUGAAAUUCGUAGAUAUUAUGUAGAACACCAGUUGCGAAGGCGGCUUUCUGGAUCAACACUGACGCUGAGGCGCGAAAGUAUGGGUAGCAAAGAGGAUUAGAUACCCUCGUAGUCCAUACCAUAAACGAUGAUUGCUAGAUGUUGGAAAUUUAUUUUCAGUAUCGCAGCUAACGCAUUAAGCAAUCCGCCUGGGGAGUACGACCGCAAGGUUAAAACUCAAAUGAAUUGACGG